rnacentral:lncRNA from 1 species
AGAGUAAAGGGAAACACCCACACUGGGUGUGAUGUGGGCUUUGCUGACCUAACAAAACAAACCAAUGGAGGGGCCUUUGGAAAACGUAACCAAGAGACCCUGGAAAUUUAAACACGCAGAAGCAGGGCAGGCGCGGUGCCUCACACCGGUAAUCCCAGAACUUUCAGAGGCCAAGCAAGAGGAUCACUUGAGGUCAGGAGUUCGAGACCAGCCUGGCCAUCAUGAUGAAACCCUGUCUCUACUAAAAAUACAAAAAUUAGCCGGGCGUGGUGGCGCACACCUGUAAUCCCAGGUACGUGGGAAGCUGAGGCAGGAGAUUCACUUGAACCCCGGAGGCGGAGGUUGCAGUGAGCAGAGAUUGCGCCACUGCACUCCAGUCUGAGUGACAGAGCAAGACUCGGUCUCAAAAACAAACACGAACACGCAGAAGCAGAAUCCCAUCAGGACAGGAGUGCAGUAUUUUAAAUUGAGCACGUAUUUGGGCCUAAUUAAGUCCAAGAGCUGUCUGACAUUUAAACUGCCCUUCUGCAACAAUUAAAACAACACACUUUGUGUGUUUUCACUGUCAUCUCAAGAGCCGCCAAGGCCAUAAAGGUGAACUUCAGGUGAUAGUAAGUGGAAGAGAAGAAUUAAGAAAAAGAAUUAUGGCAGCUUGCACUGCCUCAAGUCACCACUGCACCAAAGCUGUCCAGGCCUUCUUUAAGGUUUUCACUGCCACUAAUCAUGAUAAGCUUGGAGACCAGGCUCCAAUGAGGUUCCCACCUCAGUCUUUGCACACACUGUUCCCUCUAACUCCUCUUUCCCCUAGACACCAUCUCUGCUCAAACGUCACCUGCUCUCUAAAUGACCAUCCUAUUUAUAAUUUCAGCCCUAAAUGUCUGAAUGCCUACAUUACCCUUGCUCAGCUCCAGGUUCUGUAGGCUUGGACAAGAGGAGACAGAAAAGCCUCCCAGGGAAGGUGCCCUUAAACCAGGAGCCUGCAGACAGUGAGGGAGUGACCCACGCUGCCGUCGGGGAGACUGGACACCGUCAUGUGAAAAGCAGUCCGUCUCCCAGUUUCCUAGGUCUUAGCUAGCCGCUCUUCCUCUGCAAGUUCUUCUCCUCACUAAAAGGCUAGGACUCUCAAAGGCAGGGACUGCCGGAUUCAGUUUUGAGUCUGCUAAAGUACCUAGCGGGAGCACAGUAGGUCUGCGGUAAACACUUUGGCAAUGACU